rnacentral:rRNA from 1 species
CUACGGGCGGCAGCAGUGAGGAAUAUUGCACAAUGGGGGGAACCCUGAUGCAGCAGCGCCGCGUGGAGGAUGACGCAUUUCGGUGUGUAAACUCCUUUUAUAUGUCAAGAAAAUGACGGUAGCAUAUGAAUAAGCACCGGCUAACUCCGUGCCAGCAGCCGCGGUAAUACGGAGGGUGCAAGCGUUACUCGGAAUCACUGGGCGUAAAGGACGCGUAGGCGGGUUGGAAAGUCAGGUGUGAAAUCCUACAGCUUAACUGUAGAACUGCACUUGAAACUUCUAAUCUAGAGUAUGGGAGGGGGAGAUGGAAUUAGUGGUGUAGGGGUAAAAUCCGUAGAUAUCACUAGGAAUACCUAAAGCGAAGGCGAUCUCCUGGAACAUUGCUGACGCUAAGGCGUGAAAGCGUGGGGAGCAAACAGGAUUAGAUACCCGGGUAGUC